CUCGUUGAACACGAUGCUCUGUGGGUUUAGUACCAAGGGAAAAGAAGUGGAGGGUCAGAGUCUGCUCCCCUCAUGCGAUGGAAAGCAAGUAAGAGCGGGGAGACGGCGAACAUUACUGAUGCCAGGCAAGAGCCGUCCAGCUUGGAGCCGAGUAGCCGUCACUGUCAGUGAGAAGUGUCUUGUUAGGUGAGGGCUCUGCUCACUUCUCACUUGGCUUCAGGUACGGAUGCCCAGUUAGCUACGGCUCGGUGUGUAACAAAAUGAGCUGUGGAUAUGUGGGAGACAAGGUCCCCAUUUUCAGCAUCAGCUCAUUUCUCUGUUCACAAGCGGUGUCUUCUCUGCAGAAAAGCUUGGAUCCAGGAGGAUGAUUCCAGCUGCGCUGGUACAGGAAUUGUCCAGGAACCCUACCCGGAGGAGAGACUCUCAGAAGUGAACCUGAUCAGCCUGAACAUUCUUCUAAGCAGACAUGAACAGUCCUCAGCUUUCUCCCUCCUGCAUAAAUGGCUAAAAAGAAGUCAUUUGCCAGUCUACUGCCCUCAUGUGAUGGAAAGCGAGCGAGAGCGAUGAGACCCGUGAGCAUGUUGAUGCCACGCAAAAGCCGUCCAUCUGGCAGCAGAAGAGCCGUCGCUGUCAGUGAGAUAAGUGUCUGUUUUGGUGAGGGCUCUGCUCAUGGCCCACGUUGAUGCUGGUAGGGAUGCCCCGUUAGCUAGGGCUGGGUUUGUAAGAAAAGGUUCCUGACUAGCUGUGGUUGUAAGAGAGACAAGGUUCCCAAUUUCAGGGGCUGAUGAUUCCUCUGGUCAGGAGCAGUGUGACCUACGCAGCAGAAGGUAGCAUCUAGAGGAUGACUCCAGGUGUCGAGUUACUUGCCUUCCUCCCAUGUUUCUCUGUCUUCUCUAUUGUGUUGGCCAACACUCUCGCUCUUUCAUUCUCCCUUCCUUGCCUUUCCUGGUGCCGUCUCCCUACGUAGGACGCGGGAAAAGGGUGCUAGGUGUGUAUCCGCACAGUCUACGUCUUUGGGACCCAUGAAAAAUUAGGAGGGUAUGAAAAUCAUGGAUAUUAGUGGGUGCCACAGUGGAGCAGUGCCUGUGGGUGUUGACUUGGUCUUUAAUCAUCGCCUGGGGCUGAUGUAGACCAAAUG